rnacentral:piRNA from 1 species
UAUCAGGUCAACAUGUUUCCUCCUAGAGC